GCUUUUAACUUUUGCUUGGCAUGAAAAUCAAUUCCUGGGAAAUCCGUAUUUAGCCUUUAUCAUCUAAAAAUCCCUCACCUAAACCAACACCAUUCAAAGGCGUCCAAUCCUUUGAAGAACCCAAUCAAGCUGACUGUGUCAGAUUUCAAAACCAAUCGCUAAACAAUCAAAAUCAUUACCCAGCCAUGCAGAAGAAGAAGAGCAGAUCCCUAAGGAAGAAAAAUGGAUGCCAUCAUCCUUAUAAAAGAAACACCAAUAAAACAUCUCUCAUACCCAAGAGAGACUUUAGUGGAAAAACCCAUCUUAUGUCAGCGUUAGUUCCCUCAUACCCUCACUCAAGAUGAGUUUUAACCCCCACACACGAGAUUGUAGUUGAAUAGAAAGUAACGACAAUUAUGCCUCCAAUGAAAAUAUAAACCACAAUUCAUCAAUCUCGGUAUACACCCAUCAGCCCAAGUUAAAACAAGAGCGAGACGCGGGCCUAUCAUUCUUUUCUGCACAAAAGAACUUGGAAGUUAGUAAAUUGUUCUGGCAAAAUUGCCUCGUUAGCUUUCUACAAGACAUUUGUCGCGUUUCAGUCUGCCAUCUUUAAAGAAUCAUCAACAGGGCUUGGCGCUUAAGGGGAAGGGUCAU
rnacentral:lncRNA from 1 species